AUCAGCCUCACCUUUGCUGCUAAGCUGCUGUUUUCUAGCGAGUGGGUUCAAGUAUCGCUUCAUUUUGGUGUUUUCAUGCCAGGACUCCUGUGUGUGGGAGACUGACUGUUCUUUGCUCGAGCCCUGAACACGAAGCCGUGAGCUCCAACGCUGAGCUCCUGGGUCUGGUUCCACCGCUUCCUGCAGCUGCCAGUGACCCCUUGGCUUCUCCAAGCUCUCACGUGACCAGCAGGUCAUCCUCCCUCACCAUACCAAACGUUGCCAUGACCAGAAGCUCCCUGAAGAAACCAAUGCUGACAGGGAAGUCAUGGGAAGAGGGCAGUGGGGAAACUGGAUGCCCAGGAUACCCUGGAGGGCCUGAUCCAGCGUCUCUGAUGCAGGUCGGCCCCUCUCUUCUCCCACGUCUUCUUCUUCUUCUCUCCUUUCGCCAUUGUGUGCCACUCAAAAUUCACACAGUCCCUCGGGUGCUCGGCUCCUUACGGACACAAAGGCCGACACACAUGCACAUAUUAUUCCUUCCUCGGGGCUGUGUCUGACUCCGGCAUGAAAUCAAUUUCGGAGCCUGCACCCUCCCACUACCCUUCUCCGGGCUCCCAUUUUCUCCCACCGUGAAGCGAGACCGUUCCUGUGCCAGCCUGAGAAGAAACCCCACCAACCCCAACCUCAUGCCCCGGUCCGGAUCCCAGAAUCCUUCAGUGCUGUGCCUGCUGUCGUCACCCAGUCCUGCUUUCUUCCUUCCAACCACCCACCUUUCACGUGUUUUUUGCCGCACAGGCCAAAUAUUGAUUUUGUGCGUCCUGUAAUAUGAUUGCAUGUUUUAAAUAUGCAAAUGGAGACCACACACUGUGAGUCAGUAAAGCGGUGUUUCAUUUUCACCCCACGCCUGCUGUUUUACUACCAGCUGUACCGUGUAAGUGGAAUACCUGCGAUAAUUAAA
ensembl:lncRNA